CGGGCCUUUCUGAGGGCCACUGGGGGCGUCUUGGGGGCAGGGCUCCAUUCUGCUGCUUGCGAUGAAGCCCAGGCUACGGUAAGAGCACAGUCUGCCUGUCCUUACCACUGGCUCUAAAUAAGAUGGGAUCCAACUGCUGGAGCUGGGAUGGGCCUCUUUUUCUGGAUGGGGAGACAGAGGUCCAGAGAGAGGAGGGAAAGGAAGUAUGUCUGGGAGCUGACUGCCACAUCCCAGGCACUGUUGGAGCCUUUCACGUCCUUUGUCUCAUUGGAUCCUUACCACUACCCUGCAAGUUAAAGAAAGGACUCCUCUAAGGGAUCACGCCUGGGCUAGAGGGGUUCCUGAUCAAAACCUGAGCUCUCCACUUCCACACUGACGGAGGCAAGAGGAGCCACUGGGCGCCGAGCACUCUUCCUGCAGGCGACGCUGUGCUGGGCUUCUGUGCAAUGACUUCUACCUCUGCGCAGCCACCUGAGGGGACCGAGAGACCCAUCCUGCUGAAGGGGAAGCUGAGUGCUCCGAGAACACAGGACAAGUGACCGACCAGCCUGAGAAGUGGAGAAAGCUUCCCCAAGAAGUGACAUCUGAGCUAGGAGCUGAAGAAGAAGCGGAACCUCCCCUCCCCCAAGAAGCUGCACCUUAGCCACAAGAAAGGUGCUCAGAGUAUAGCAGGCAGCUGCCGAGCCUCGGACAUUUGCAACUUCCAGGAUUCUGCCUUUGGAGAGCCACUGGAGAGCUUCAAAGCUAAUCAUGUCAGCAUUAUUUACCAUAGCAAAAAAAAAAAAAGCUAGAAGUCACAUCAAUGCCAAAUAAGGAGAAGAUUCA